CCCCUUAGGGCUUUUUUUGUGCUGGAACCAGAGGAGAGGAAGCCUCAAGCUUGAAUUUGGAGCUAAGUGGAGGAUAGAUCUUGGGAUUUAAAGGAUUUAGAGCUUGAUUUGAAGCUUCUAAGAGGGCUUUUGGAGCUAGAUUGAGUGGAUUAGAGGCUUCCAUUAGGUUG